AGCAGCCGCGGUAAUUCCAGCUCCAAUAGCGUAUAUAAAGUGUGCAGUAAAAGCUCGUAUGAAUUCGGGAUCAAUUAGUCGGUCGUGCCUCUGGUACGUACUGGUUUUAUUGGUUCCUCCUUCUGACGAAACAUGAUGUCAUUAAUUUGGUGUCGUGAGAAUCAGGACUGUUACCUUAAAAAAUUAGAGUGUUUAUAGCAGGCUAAC
rnacentral:rRNA from 1 species